rnacentral:rRNA from 1 species
ACGCUGGCGGCGUGCUUAACACAUGCAAGUCGAACGAUGAAGCCUAGCUUGCUAGGUGGAUUAGUGGCGAACGGGUGAGUAAUACGUGAGUAACCUACCUUUAACUCUGGGAUAAGCCUGGGAAACUGGGUCUGAUACCGGAUACGACCAAUCUCCGCAUGGGGUGUUGGUGGAAAGCGUUAUGUAGUGGUUAUAGAUGGGCUCACGGCCUAUCAGCUUGUUGGUGAGGUAACGGCUCACCAAGGCGACGACGGGUAGCCGGCCUGAGAGGGUGACCGGCCACACUGGGACUGAGACACGGCCCAGACUCCUACGGGAGGCAGCAGUGGGGAAUAUUGCACAAUGGGCGCAAGCCUGAUGCAGCGACGCCGCGUGAGGGAUGACGGCCUUCGGGUUGUAAACCUCUGUUAGCAGGGAAGAAGAGAAAUUGACGGUACCUGCAGAGAAAGCGCCGGCUAACUACGUGCCAGCAGCCGCGGUAAUACGUAGGGCGCGAGCGUUGUCCGGAAUUAUUGGGCGUAAAGAGCUUGUAGGCGGUUUGUCGCGUCUGCUGUGAAAGGCCGGGGCUUAACCCCGUGUAUUGCAGUGGGUACGGGCAGACUAGAGUGCAGUAGGGGAGACUGGAAUUCCUGGUGUAGCGGUGGAAUGCGCAGAUAUCAGGAGGAACACCGAUGGCGAAGGCAGGUCUCUGGGCUGUAACUGACGCUGAGAAGCGAAAGCAUGGGGAGCGAACAGGAUUAGAUACCCUGGUAGUCCAUGCCGUAAACGUUGGGCACUAGGUGUGGGGGACAUUCCACGUUUUCCGCGCCGUAGCUAACGCAUUAAGUGCCCCGCCUGGGGAGUACGGCCGCAAGGCUAAAACUCAAAGAAAUUGACGGGGGCCCGCACAAGCGGCGGAGCAUGCGGAUUAAUUCGAUGCAACGCGAA